CGUGCGCCGAGGCGCCCUUGCGUCACAAGCCCUCUUAUUUAUAGCAAGAGUGACGUGAACGCCCAGGCGGCCAAUCGCAGUCGGGCCUCAAUCCUAGCGCCGACGAGCGGGGGCGGAGGCCCGCCUCGCCGACGUCACAGCGCGGCGGCGGCCGCCGGUGUGAACCGGUUGAUGAAUGGCGACCGGCUGCAAUCAGAGCGCCUACCAGGCGGGGGUGGGAAGGGUCAUUGGAGGGUCUGCAGGGGAAGCCCCGUACGGGGAUGAGAGGCUGCUCUACGUAACUAAACCCCUGACGAGUGCACUCUCAUCUCAGGAGGAGGCCCGAAGUUGGCCUCAACUAGAAUGCAGUGCACUUCGGACUGGAGCGUAGUCUCAAUCCCAGGCCUACUUCUUUUGCCGUGAAAAGAGGCUCUUUAAGGAAAUGAUUAUCUGUCCAACAUGGGAAGCAUCUGAGGAGUGUUGAAAAACAUACUGAGCUGAGGCCCCAUCCUCAGCUCAGAUUCUGAUUUAAUUGAUCUGGGACUGGCUGGCCUGGGCAUUGGUAGUUCUUGAAGCUUCCAAGUUUUACUAAUCUGAUUCUCCAUCUCUAUCAGGGGUGGAUGGUCCCUAUCUCCAUUGGCUGUGGACCAGGAAUCACAUGGUCCAGUUCCUGCUGUCAGCAGAAAUCCGUGGCCUGACCGUGACACUUGUGCUUAGAGUCUUAGCACAUGGUCUGGCGCUGCUGCUGGGAAUCCUGAGUCACUCUUCUCCUGUGAUUCCUAAUGUUGAAGGGAGUCUCUGCAGAGGAGGAAGGACAGUCUGUCAGUCUCACAGAAAUUACAUAAAACAGAAGAGAAUGAAUCAUAGAAUAUCAAAUACCAUAACCUUUAGUACAGAAGGACUUUGAGAAUUAUUUCCCUAAUAG
rnacentral:lncRNA from 1 species